AUUGAACGCUGGCGGCAGGCCUAACACAUGCAAGUCGAGCGGUAGCACAGGGAGCUUGCUCCUGGGUAACGAGCGGCGGACGGGUGAGUAAUGUCUGGGAAACUGCCUGAUGGAGGGGGAUAACUACUGGAAACGGUAGCUAAUACCGCAUAACGUCGCAAGACCAAAGAGGGGGACCUUCGGGCCUCUUGCCAUCAGAUGUGCCCAGAUGGGAUUAGCUAGUAGGUGGGGUAAUGGCUCACCUAGGCGACGAUCCCUAGCUGGUCUGAGAGGAUGACCAGCCACACUGGAACUGGGACACGGUCCAGACUCCUACGGGAGGCAGCAGUGGGGAAUAUUGCACAAUGGGCGCAAGCCUGAUGCAGCCAUGCCGCGUGUAUGAAGAAGGCCUUCGGGUUGUAAAGUACUUUCAGCGGGGAGGAAGGUGUUGAGGUUAAUAACCUCAGCAAUUGACGUUACCCGCAGAAGAAGCACCGGCUAACUCCGUGCCAGCCGCCGCCGUAA
rnacentral:rRNA from 1 species